UACAGAGGGUGCAAGCGUUAAUCGGAAUUACUGGGCGUAAAGCGGGCGUAGACGGUUAUGUAAGUCAGGUGGGAAAGCCCCGGGCUCAACCUGGGAAUGCCAUUUGAGACUGCAUAGCUAGGGUACGGAAGAGGGAAGCGGAAUUUCAGGUGUAGCGGUGAAAUGCGUAGAUAUCUGAAGGAACACCAGUGGCGAAAGCGGCUUCCUGGUCCAGUACCGACGUUCAGGCACGAAAGCGUGGGGAGCAAACAGG
rnacentral:rRNA from 1 species